rnacentral:rRNA from 1 species
GACGAACGCUGGCGGCGUGCUUAACACAUGCAAGUCGAACGGAAAGGCCCUGCUUUUGUGGGGUGCUCGAGUGGCGAACGGGUGAGUAACACGUGAGUAACCUGCCCUUGACUUUGGGAUAACUUCAGGAAACUGGGGCUAAUACCGGAUAGGAGCUCCUGCUGCAUGGUGGGGGUUGGAAAGUUUCGGCGGUUGGGGAUGGACUCGCGGCUUAUCAGCUUGUUGGUGGGGUAGUGGCUUACCAAGGCUUUGACGGGUAGCCGGCCUGAGAGGGUGACCGGCCACAUUGGGACUGAGAUACGGCCCAGACUCCUACGGGAGGCAGCAGUGGGGAAUAUUGCACAAUGGGCGGAGGCCUGAUGCAGCAACGCCGCGUGCGGGAUGACGGCCUUCGGGUUGUAAACCGCUUUCGCCUGUGACGAAGCGUGAGUGACGGUAAUGGGUAAAGAAGCACCGGCUAACUACGUGCCAGCAGCCGCGGUGAUACGUAGGGUGCGAGCGUUGUCCGGAUUUAUUGGGCGUAAAGGGCUCGUAGGUGGUUGAUCGCGUCGGAAGUGUAAUCUUGGGGCUUAACCCUGAGCGUGCUUUCGAUACGGGUUGACUUGAGGAAGGUAGGGGAGAAUGGAAUUCCUGGUGGAGCGGUGGAAUGCGCAGAUAUCAGGAGGAACACCAGUGGCGAAGGCGGUUCUCUGGGCCUUUCCUGACGCUGAGGAGCGAAAGCGUGGGGAGCGAACAGGCCUAGAUACCCUGGUAGUCCACGCUGUAAACGGUGGGUACUAGGUGUGGGGUCCAUUCCACGGGUUCCGUGCCGUAGCUAACGCUUUAAGUACCCCGCCUGGGGAGUACGGCCGCAAGGCUAAAACUCAAAGGAAUUGACGGGGCCCCGCACAAGCGGCGGAGCAUGCGGAUUAAUUCGAUGCAACGCGUAGAACCUUACCUGGGUUUGACAUGGAUCGGGAGUGCUCAGAGAUGGGUGUGCCUCUUUUGGGGUCGGUUCACAGGUGGUGCAUGGCUGUCGUCCGCUCGUGUCGUGAGAUGUUGGGUUAAGUCCCGCAACGAGCGCAACCCUUGUUCACUGUUGCCAGCACGUUAUGGUGGGGACUCAGUGGAGACCGCCGGGGUCAACUCGGAGGAAGGUGGGGAUGACGUCAAGUCAUCAUGCCCCUUAUGUCCAGGGCUUCACGCAUGCUACAAUGGCUGGUACAGAGAGUGGCGAGCCUGUGAGGGUGAGCGAAUCUCGGAAAGCCGGUCUCAGUUCGGAUUGGGGUCUGCAACUCGACCUCAUGAAGUCGGAGUCGCUAGUAAUCGCAGAUCAGCAACGCUGCGGUGAAUACGUUCCCGGG